ACGCCCUAUGUCUAUGGAUGCGCACGUGGCGCGAAGACUCGGCCGGGGUCGUGAGCGCGAGUUCGAUUCGCACGGUGUAAGUCUUCUGUGGCGGUUUGAUGUGGUUCUUGUAAUUGCGCAUAUUUUUUGAUUGUGGGGACAGCGUACUACUCCCACAAGCCCAGAGCCAUAUAUUGAAGGAAGGGAUGAAGGACUCGCACGGUGGAUUAAGCGAGACAGUUAGUUAUACGCAAUACAAUUCUCGGUGUGCGUGUAUACUUGUGAACGACUGGAAAAUUGGUUGUUAACGAAGAUUAGGAGUCGCGUAUGCGGACUUAUAGGUUAGGUCCGGAAGUAGGGUCGCAAAUUCGCGAUCCUCAGGUCGGUGACGGAGAUUCGCGCAACGGAUCAGCGGAACUAGGAAGCGGCCAUGUAUCCGCUGCUCGUUUUCUGGAUGGAAUUUUACCGCGUAUUUAAGGUGGAAAGGAAGUGCUGAGCAUCUACAGACUAAGAGUGCUCUCUCUUGGCAGAGAUCGCUCGGAUGAAUCUCUCUCAUUCGGUCAUCGCAACUAUAUAUACAAGAAUCUCCUGGUUCUCUUCCUCGGUUUGACAGAUAACCGCGUAUUAUUUAUCUGGCUUUCUCGACACGGAUGUCGUGUUUACAUAUCGCGGCGCUUGUCGCAGUUCCAUGGUUCUUUUAGCAAGGUGGAGGGUAUCGGAAAAUCGCUCACGAAUGUAAUCGAACGAUACCCGUAACGAUGCCUUUCGGUCCAUCGUUACAUAUAUUUAAGUUCGGAUAAUAAAUAAUAUAGAACGCCUUUCUACGAGCAAUUCGCCGUUAUUUCGUGCACAAUCAACAUUAAAAUAAAAAUCGCCACGUUUUCGGAUUGUUUGGAUAAUUUUCCUUCGCUCCACACUUCCUUUCACUAAAGUUUUAAAUAUUUGUACCUCUAAUUAUCAUGUACUGGUCCCAAAUGACGAGCUAUUUUACAUUGGAAUGUAUUGCAUUACAUACAAAAAUGUUUUUUUUUCCCCACAUCCAGAGGCAGAACAAACAUUUCGGUGUCAUCUCGGGCUUUUUCUGACACAUUUAUAAACGUGGAUACAUCCAAUCUGUUAGAUGUAUUUGUGUAAUUAUUAGUUUUUAACAAUAGAAUUUGAUUAUUUAUUGUAGAUUGAGUUAAACUUUUAUCAGAUGAAGUAUUCGAUAGUAUAUAAGAAGUAUAUUUUCCUAAAUUGUCUUGCAUACUAUUAUUACUAGUAAAGCAUUCCGAAAAAAUCAAUAAGUAA